CCUACGGGGGGUAGCAGUGGGGAAUAUUGGACAAUGGGGGGAACCCUGAUCCAGCCAUGUCGCGUGUGUGAAGAAGGCCCUCGGGUUGUAAAGCACUUUCAGUGAGGAAGAACGCCUGGUGGUUAAUACCCAUCAGGAAAGACAUCACUCACAGAAGAAGCACCGGCUAACUCCGUGCCAGCAGCCGCGGUAAUACGGAGGGUGCGAGCGUUAAUCGGAAUUACUGGGCGUAAAGCGCGCGUAGGUGGCUUGAUAAGCCGGUUGUGAAAGCCCCGGGCUCAACCUGGGAACGGCAUCCGGAACUGUCAAGCUAGAGUGCAGGAGAGGAAGGUAGAAUUCCCGGUGUAGCGGUGAAAUGCGUAGAGAUCGGGAGGAAUACCAGUGGCGAAGGCGGCCUUCUGGACUGACACUGACACUGAGGUGCGAAAGCGUGGGUAGCAAACAGGAUUAGAUACCCCUGUAGUC
rnacentral:rRNA from 1 species